CCCAAACCGUUUUUAACAUCUUAGGUCACUCAGAAACGAGUAUCACCGGUUUGAAGGAGGGCACAGACAGCUCAAUGAUUCAGCUGGUGGAACUACAAAAAUGUAGCACAGAGCCUUCAGCAGAGGAAUGGGGACCGUCGACAUGGCAGGUGGGCGACCCUCAGCCCGAAGCGCCUCAUUCCUUCUGCUGCCACCGCAGCUGCUCCAACACCAUCCCUAGUAGACCAAAAACUGGAGAUGGAUGUCCUAAAGCAGCAGAAAAUAGUACUCCAUCUACAGGAGGAGUACUACAAACUAAAAAUUGAGCUACUCAAAAAUAAAACUAAUAACAAAUAA